GUGAUGAGCCAGGCAAUACGGAAAUGUGACGCACCACGACCUCCUCUGA
rnacentral:snoRNA from 1 species